CUCAAUGAAAAUUUAAUAGCCGCAAUAUUAUUGUGCUAAGGUAGCAUAAUCAUUUGUUUUUUAAUUAAAAACUAGAACGAAAGAUUCAAUAUUUUUAUCUCUUUCUCAUACAUAAUAUAUAUAAAUUAUUUAAAAUAUUAAAAAAUAUUUAUUCAUAAAAAAGACGACAAGACCCUAUUGAACUUAACUAAAGUUAAACUGGGGAAGUUAAUUAAAUAUUAUUUUAAUUUACAUUUAAAAAAUUUCUAAUAAAAUUAAACAUAUCAAGUUACCAUAGGGAUAACAGCGUAAUAUUUUUCUUAAGAUCUUAUCAAAAAAAUUGUUUGCGACCUCGAUGUUGAAUUAAUAAUCUAUUAAAUGCAAUAAUUUAAUAAGAAAGUCUGUUCGACUU
rnacentral:rRNA from 1 species